rnacentral:rRNA from 1 species
UACGAACCGUGCGAACGUUGUUCGGAUUCACUGGGCUUAAAGGGCGCGUAGGCGGCACUGUUAGUCAGGCGUGAAAGUCCUGGGCUCAACCUGGGAACUGCGCUUGAUACGGCAGAGCUAGAGGAUGGAAGAGGCUCGCGGAAUUCCCAGUGUAGAGGUGAAAUUCGUAGAUAUUGGGAAGAACACCGGUGGCGAAGGCGGCGAGCUGGUCCAUUACUGACGCUGA